ACGGAUGUAGCUCAGUAGGUAGAGCGUACGCCUCGGGCGCGUAAGGCCGUCGGUUCGAGUCCGGCCAUCCGUACCA
rnacentral:tRNA from 1 species